rnacentral:tRNA from 1 species
GCCGGAGUGGCGGAAUGGCAGACGCGCUAGACUCAAAAUCUGGUAACCGCAAGGUUGUGUGGGUUCGAGUCCCUCCUCCGGCACCA